CCUACGGGUGGCAGCAGUGGGGAAUAUUGCACAAUGGGGGAAACCCUGAUGCAGCGACGCCGCGUGAGUGAAGAAGUAUUUCGGUAUGUAAAGCUCUAUCAGCAGGGAAGAAAACCACCCUCCGGGGUGGCUGACGGUACCUGACUAAGAAGCCCCGGCUAACUACGUGCCAGCAGCCGCGGUAAUACGUAGGGGGCAAGCGUUAUCCGGAUUUAGUGUGUUUAAAGGGAGCGUAGGUGGCAAGGCAAGUCAGAUGUGAAAACCCGGGGCCCCACCCCGGGAGUGCCUUUGAAACUGUCUGGCUAGAGUGCAGGAGAGGUAAGUGGAAUUCCUAGUGUAGCGGUGAAAUGCAUAGAUAUUAGGAGGAACACCAGUGGCGAAGGCGGCUUACUGGACUGUAACUGACACUGAGGCACGAAAGUGCGGGGAUCGAACAGGAUUAGAUACCCUUGUAGUC
rnacentral:rRNA from 1 species